rnacentral:lncRNA from 1 species
UAAAAUAUUCUAUUUUCUUAUAAAACAAUAUUUAUAGAGUUACCGGUAAAUAAUUUUUGUAGCAUAAAAGCUAAAUAAAUUCAUACAUACUAUAAUACAGAUAACCAAAGUAUAAAAUUUAAUUUACAGUAACACGUGGGCCCAGGAACGACCAAAAGUAUCAAAAGCGGUAAACCUACAGUUUUUGAGGAUACAAGUCCAACUGUAGCCCUCAACAAAGUGAGCUAUCUACCAACUAUCCUGAGCCUGCAAUGGGUGGAAAGGAGGGUGGUGAGAUUAUAUAAUCCCAAUGAGUAAACAAAUACCAUCUAAAAUAUAUAAAGCUGAGCAAAUUGAUACAGAUAAAAUAGAUUAGCAUAAAAAUGAUUCUCAGCAUUUCGAACUCAUUUUAAUAAGUUAAAAUAGAUUCAUUUCACCCAAAUAAACAACGAGGCUUAUGAUUUCCUGAAAAGUUUGGCUCGUGCCAAAAUCAUUCACAUACUCAAUUAUCAGGGAUACCUUGGCCUGGGGCUAUUCCAACCGAGUCCGCCAAGGCUGUUAAAAGUCAUGUACGCAUAAAUCAUGUUUUUAUUUUGAAAACAUAGUCGUUCCUUGGCGUUGGCUGAGUUUACCCUCACGUGGUGGUUUGGUGUGAAGUGAACUCUAAAGUUUUAACCUCAGGAGUUAUCCAACCGCGCCUCUCAUACUGAGGUAUGAAUAUAAUAGGGUUACCGUGCCCCUCUAAUAGGUUGGUCCACGGAACCCGUCCACUGCAGCGACCAAAUAUAACACACCAAUUCAAUAAAAUUCAACAGCAUGACAUGGCAAUUAUUUUAUUUUACAGUCUCUCAAGGCAAAUCAACAGUUCAUACUUUUUCAACACAUUUACCAAAUCCAACCAUUCAUGCCAAUAUUAUCAUAAGCCAUUCAAUUCAAACCAUGAUUUAUAACACAGCAAUUAGUCUCCAAUUACUCCAUUUUCAAGUCUAUUUCAAGUCAAUUUUAGAAAAUCAUUUCAUGUAAUCACAUUUUGCUUAUAAAACAUAAAGAUUUACCAUUUAAACUCAUUUUUCUAUCAAAUCACAAAAAUGAAUAAAAACUACUUUAGAUAAUUAAGACGAUAAUAAGGUUACUCACUAUUUUGGGAGUCAAAUUUCGAGUUCUCCGAUUCUUGAUCCUCGGGUACUAUCUCUUUACUUUUGCCAGAAUGCUCACCACCUAGACAUAAUACACAAUAAGCCAUUUACUACAUUUAUGCUAAAUUGUUAUAAAACCAAUUCAGGCUUUAUACUAAUGCAUGAAAUGGGAUGUAAAUUAUUCGAAUUAUCGUCUAAACACGAUGUUCUACACAAAUUCAAUUGUAUGCCUAAAUAAAACGGUAUUGGCCUAAUUCGAUCUAUCACUCGAUUAAUUGGCCAAUAUGUCUAAUUCAACUCCAAUAAUUCCAUUUUUCUUCCAAUUCUUCAAACCAUCAAACACAAGUUAAAUAACUUGAAAUAUGGUAAAAUCAUCCUCACAUUUUCUCUUGGAAAAUUCGGCCAUGGUGGGUGCAUCAACACUAUGAUUUUUCCUACUUGAUUUUCUCACCAUAAUUCAUCAUUUCCUAACCAAUUCACUUGAAAUAAAAUCAAAUCCACCACCAACACUCUACAAGGAAGAUUCAGCCAAUGAUGAACUCACGAGGAAUAUGUGAAUUUCAAGCUUAAUUCUUACACUUAACACCAUAAACAACUAAAAACAUCCAUAUAUCUUAAAAAUCUAUCUAAAUCAUCAUCAAAUUCUCUCUCCUAAGGUUUGAUCAGCACACUAUCCUUCAUGAUAUCUUGUGAUUCAACCAUGGAAAAUAAGAAAAAAUGCUUAAGAAAGAGAGAUCUCAAGCUUAACUGAAAAAUCUUACCUUUUUUUUCGCUUGUUUCCUUGAAUUUUCACACUUUUCCCUUGAAUUUUUCCACCUAGGGUUUUGUUCUUCCUUUUCUUUCUUUGUUCUUACUUU